UACGAAGGGGGCUAGCGUUGCUCGGAAUCACUGGGCGUAAAGCGCACGUAGGCGGACUCUUAAGUCGGUGGCGAAAUCCUGGAGCUCAACUCCAGAACUGCCUUCGAUACUGAGAGUCUCGAGUCCGGGAGAGGUGAGUGGAACUGCGAGUGUAGAGGUGAAAUUCGUAGAUAUUCGCAAGAACACCAGUGGCGAAGGCGGCUCACUGGCCCGGUACUGACGCUGAGGUGCGAAAGCGUGGGGAGCAAACAGG
rnacentral:rRNA from 1 species